UACGUAGGGGGCAAGCGUUGUCCGGAUUUAUUGGGCGUAAAGAGCGCGCAGGCGGUCGUACAAGUCGCGUGUGAAAGCCCCCGGCUCAACUGGGGAGGGUCACGCGAUACUGUUCGACUCGAAGGCAGGAGAGGGAAGUGGAAUUCCCGGUGUAGUGGUGAAAUGCGUAGAUAUCGGGAGGAACACCAGUGGCGAAGGCGACUUCCUGGCCUGCUCUUGACGCUGAGGCGCGAAAGCUAGGGUAGCAAACGGG
rnacentral:rRNA from 1 species